rnacentral:rRNA from 1 species
CCAAUAGCGUAUAUUAAAGUUGUUGCAGUUAAAAAGCUCGUAGUUGAAUUUCGGGAUCAAUAUGCUGGUCGUGCCAUUGGUACGUACUAGUAUUAUUGGUUUCUUCCUUCUGAUGAAUCAUGAUGUCAUUAAGUUGAUGUCAUGGGGAAUCAGGACUGUUACUUUGAAAAAAUUAGAGUGUUUAAAGCAGGCUCGCGCUUGAAUACAUUAGCAUGGAAUAAUGAAAUAGGACGUUUGAUUCUAUUUUGUUGGUUUCUAGGAUUGACGUAAUGAUUAAUAGGGAUAGUUGGGGGCAUUAGUAUUCAAUUGUCAGAGGUGAAAUUCGUGGAUUUAUUGAAGACUAACUACUGCGAAAGCAUUUGCCAAGGAUGUUUUCACUAAUCAAGAACGAAAGUUAGGGGAUCGAAGACGAUCAGAUACCGUCGUAGUCUUAACCAUAAAUUAUGCCGACUAGGGAUCGGAUGAUGUUAAUUUUUUAAUGACUCAUUCGGCGCCUUACG